AGAGUUUGAUCCUGGCUCAGGACGAACGCUGGCGGCGUGCCUAAUACAUGCAAGUAGAACGCUGAAGAGAGGAGCUUGCUCUUCUUGGAUGAGUUGCGAACGGGUGAGUAACGCGUAGGUAACCUGCCUUGUAGCGGGGGAUAACUAUUGGAAACGAUAGCUAAUACCGCAUAACAAUGGAUGACACAUGUCAUUUAUUUGAAAGGGGCAAUUGCUCCACUACAAGAUGGACCUGCGUUGUAUUAGCUAGUAGGUGAGGUAAUGGCUCACCUAGGCGACGAUACAUAGCCGACCUGAGAGGGUGAUCGGCCACACUGGGACUGAGACACGGCCCAGACUCCUACGGGAGGCAGCAGUAGGGAAUCUUCGGCAAUGGGGGCAACCCUGACCGAGCAACGCCGCGUGAGUGAAGAAGGUUUUCGGAUCGUAAAGCUCUGUUGUAAGUCAAGAACGGGUGUGAGAGUGGAAAGUUCACACUGUGACGGUAGCUUACCAGAAAGGGACGGCUAACUACGUGCCAGCAGCCGCGGUAAUACGUAGGUCCCGAGCGUUGUCCGGAUUUAUUGGGCGUAAAGCGAGCGCAGGCGGUUUGAUAAGUCUGAAGUUAAAGGCUGUGGCUCAACCAUAGUUCGCUUUGGAAACUGUCAAACUUGAGUGCAGAAGGGGAGAGUGGAAUUCCAUGUGUAGCGGUGAAAUGCGUAGAUAUAUGGAGGAACACCGGUGGCGAAAGCGGCUCUCUGGUCUGUAACUGACGCUGAGGCUCGAAAGCGUGGGGAGCGAACAGGAUUAGAUACCCUGGUAGUCCACGCCGUAAACGAUGAGUGCUAGGUGUUGGAUCCUUUCCGGGAUUCAGUGCCGCAGCUAACGCAUUAAGCACUCCGCCUGGGGAGUACGACCGCAAGGUUGAAACUCAAAGGAAUUGACGGGGGCCCGCACAAGCGGUGGAGCAUGUGGUUUAAUUCGAAGCAACGCGAAGAACCUUACCAGGUCUUGACAUCCCGAUGCUAUUUCUAGAGAUAGAAAGUUACUUCGGUACAUCGGUGACAGGUGGUGCAUGGUUGUCGUCAGCUCGUGUCGUGAGAUAUUGGGUUAAGUCCCGCAACGAGCGCAACCCCUAUUGUUAGUUGCCAUCAUUCAGUUGGGCACUCUAGCGAGACUGCCGGUAAUAAACCGGAGGAAGGUGGGGAUGACGUCAAAUCAUCAUGCCCCUUAUGACCUGGGCUACACACGUGCUACAAUGGUUGGUACAACGAGUUGCGAGUCGGUGACGGCGAGCUAAUCUCUUAAAGCCAAUCUCAGUUCGGAUUGUAGGCUGCAACUCGCCUACAUGAAGUCGGAAUCGCUAGUAAUCGCGGAUCAGCACGCCGCGGUGAAUACGUUCCCGGGCCUUGUACACACCGCCCGUCACACCACGAGAGUUUGUAACACCCGAAGUCGGUGAGGUAACCUUUUGGAGCCAGCCGCCUAAGGUGGGACAGAUGAUUGGGGUGAAGUCGUAACAAGGUA
rnacentral:rRNA from 1 species